AGAUGUGCCCAGAUGGGAUUAGCUAGUAGGUGGGGUAACGGCUCACCUAGGCGACGAUCCCUAGCUGGUCUGAGAGGAUGACCAGCCACACUGGAACUGAGACACGGUCCAGACUCCUACGGGAGGCAGCAGUGGGGAAUAUUGCACAAUGGGCGCAAGCCUGAUGCAGCCAUGCCGCGUGUGUGAAGAAGGCCUUCGGGUUGUAAAGCACUUUCAGCGGGGAGGAAGGCGUUAAGGUUAAUAACCUUGGCGAUUGACGUUACCCGCAGAAGAAGCACCGGCUAACUCCGUGCCAGCAGCCGCGGUAAUACGGAGGGUGCAAGCGUUAAUCGGAAUUACUGGGCGUAAAGCGCACGCAGGCGGUCUGUCAAGUCGGAUGUGAAAUCCCCGGGCUCAACCUGGGAACUGCAUUCGAAACUGGCAGGCUAGAGUCUUGUAGAGGGGGGUAGAAUUCCAGGUGUAGCGGUGAAAUGCGUAGAGAUCUGGAGGAAUACCGGUGGCGAAGGCGGCCCCCUGGACAAAGACUGACGCUCAGGUGCGAAAGCGUGGGGAGCAAACAGGAUUAGAUACCCUGGUAGUCCACGCCGUAAACGAUGUCGAUUUGGAGGUUGUGCCCUUGAGGCGUGGCUUCCGGAGCUAACGCGUUAAAUCGACCGCCUGGGGAGUACGGCCGCAAGGUUAAAACUCAAAUGAAUUGACGGGGGCCCGCACAAGCGGUGGAGCAUGUGGUUUAAUUCGAUGCAACGCGAAGAACCUUACCUGGUCUUGACAUCCACAGAACUUUCCAGAGAUGGAUUGGUGCCUUCGGGAACUGUGAGACAGGUGCUGCAUGGCUGUCGUCAGCUCGUGUUGUGAAAUGUUGGGUUAAGUCCCGCAACGAGCGCAACCCUUAUCCUUUGUUGCCAGCGGUCCGGCCGGGAACUCAAAGGAGACUGCCAGUGAUAAACUGGAGGAAGGUGGGGAUGACGUCAAGUCAUCAUGGCCCUUACGACCAGGGCUACACACGUGCUACAAUGGCAUAUACAAAGAGAAGCGACCUCGCGAGAGCAAGCGGACCUCAUAAAGUAUGUCGUAGUCCGGAUUGGAGUCUGCAACUCGACUCCAUGAAGUCGGAAUCGCUAGUAAUCGUAGAUCAGAAUGCUACGGUGAAUACGUUCCCGGGCCUUGUACACACCGCCCGUCACACCAUGGGAGUGGGUUGCAAAAGAAGUAGGUAGCUUAACCUUCGGGAGGGCGCUUACCACUUUGUGAUUCAUGACUGGGGUGAAGUCGUAACAAGGUAACCGUAGGGGAACCUGCGGUUGGAUCACCU
rnacentral:rRNA from 1 species